GUAGGUGGCAAGCGUUGUCCGGAAUUAUUGGGCGUAAAGCGCGCGCAGGUGGUUCUUUAAGUCUGAUGUGAAAGCCCCCGGCUCAACCGGGGAGGGUCAUUGGAAACUGGGGGACUUGAGUGCAGGAGAGGAGAGUGGAAUUCCACGUGUAGCGGUGAAAUGCGUAGAUAUGUGGAGGAACACCAGUGGCGAAGGCGACUGUCUGGCCUGUAACUGACACUGAGGCGCGAAAGCGUGGGGAGCAAACAGGGAUUAGAUACCCUGGUAGUCCACGCCGUAAACGAUGAGUGCUAAGUGUUGGGGGGGUUUCCGCCCCCUCAGUGCUGCAGCUAACGCAUUAAGCACUCCGCCUGGGAGUACGGUCGCAAGACUG
rnacentral:rRNA from 1 species